rnacentral:rRNA from 1 species
GCAAAAGCUCAAAUUUGAAAUCUAGCACCUUCGGUGUUCGAGUUGUAAUUUGAAGAUGGUAACCUUGGGUUUGGCUCUUGUCUAUGUUCCUUGGAACAGGACGUCAUAGAGGGUGAGAAUCCCGUCUGAUGAGAUGCCCAUUCCUAUGUAAGGUGCUAUCGAAGAGUCGAGUUGUUUGGGAAUGCAGCUCUAAGUGGGUGGUAAAUUCCAUCUAAAGCUAAAUAUUGGCGAGAGACCGAUAGCGAACAAGUACAGUGAUGGAAAGAUGAAAAGAACUUUGAAAAGAGAGUGAAAAAGUACGUGAAAUUGUUGAAAGGGAAGGGCAUUAGAUCAGACUUGGUGUUUUACGAUUAUCUUCUCUUCUUGAGUUGUGCACUCGUAUUUCACUGGGCCAGCAUCGAUUCGGAUGGCAAGAUAAUGGCAGUUGAAUGUGGCUUCACUUCGGUGGAGUGUUAUAGCUUCUGCUGAUAUUGCCUGUCUGGAUCGAGGGCUGCGUCUUUUGACUAGGAUGCUGGCGUAAUGAUCUGAUGCCG